rnacentral:rRNA from 1 species
AAUCAACGCUGGCGGCGUGCCUAACACAUGCAAGUCGAACGCGAAAGCCCCUUCGGGGGUAAGUAGAGUGGCGUCCGGGUGAGUAACACGUAGGUAAUCUACCUUCGGGUGGGGAAUAACUCGCCGAAAGGCGAGCUAAUACCGCAUAAUGCAGCGGCACCUAAUGGUGAUUAGUUGUUAAAGCGGGGGAUCGUAAGACCUCGCGCCUGAAGAGGAGCCUGCGGCAGAUUAGCUAGUUGGNGA